AAGGCAUUCACGGGGUUGCAGGCAGUGGAGGACACAGAAGAUGGCAGUGGGGACUGAGUGGAGUGCUGCAAUUCCAUUACCUGAAAGGAAGCUGGCGAACACAAGCCGUGGAGCCAUGUCUUCAGGUUUUGGCGGCCCUGAUCUUGCAAGACUGAUUUUCCGCUAACGGACAGUGGGGGGAGCGGAGACACCCCCAAUCUCCCCACCACAAAACAUUUAAACCAUCACGAUAACUCCAAAAUUCAGGUUAUUUAAAGUGUAAUCGCAAAGCUCAGGCAGUGUUGAUCAUGUGUCAGUACCUCAAAACACCAAACACAGCAGAUUAACAGAAAGAAAGUUUAAUGGACAACAGAUACUGACCCAGUUCAGAGAUGACCUCCUCGAUGCUGACCUUGCUCCUAUCCAUGAGGUCUCUAACUCUGUGGAGGCGCUCACAAAAUGGCUUCUCUGCUUCUUUUAGGCUGUACAGACACACAACGUGAAUUACUUGCACUGACUGACAGUUGUCGUGGAAUACUUGUUGAACAGACUGUAUUUAAAUUCAGGUCUGAAAAAUGUCUGACACUGGGGUGUUAAACAUGUAAUACUCACAUUCUGGCAUCAUUGCGCGUUGCCUCAUCUCCCUCCACUUCCUCCAUCUCUGUGAUUAGCUUGCUGAUAAACUGCUGAGGUAAUUCUAGUGCCCCCUGCAGAGAGAGGUGCACAGCUAACGCCUGGAGCACUGCUCCAUUAUAGCCCAGAGAGCAGGAGUGGGUCAGCAUGGCACCUGAACAGGCAAACUUGAGUGAUGGGGGGGGGGGG